UACGGCCAAAUCACAUUGAAACACCAGCACCCACACGAUCACCGCAGUUAAGCAACGCCAAGCCUGGUUAGUAAAUUGAUCUGUGACUGCAUGGGAAUACCAGGUGCU